rnacentral:misc_RNA from 1 species
AAGUCGUAACAAGGUUUCCGUAGGUGAACCUGCGGAAGGAUCAUUAACACGUAUCCAAACGUUAAAACCCCCCCCGUGAACCUUCAUCCUGCUCUUGUAACCCGCGUAGUUCGCAAUCUCUGAUAAAUCAUAGCCCGGAAAGUUGUAGUGAUUCAGAGACCUCUGGCUACGUGCGAACAUUGGAACAGUUACAAUCGAGCGGUAGUUCUAUAGGCAAUGUUUCCCCAAGCAGUCAGUGUCGGAAAGUGUCAUUGAUUGUGCAAGGAUAGCGCUUCAACGAUUCCUGUAGACCAUGCCCCCUAAUAACCCCACAGUUUAAUGUGAAGCUCAAUGUAAUACAUUGGGUAAAAGAACCGAACAACUGUUAACAAUGGAUAUCUUGGUUCUC